rnacentral:rRNA from 1 species
UACAGAGGGUGCGAGCGUUAAUCGGAAUUACUGGGCGUAAAGGGCGCGUAGGCGGACGAAUAAGUCAUAUGUGAAAGCCCUGGGCUUAACCUAGGAAUGGCGUAUGAUACUGUUUAUCUAGAGUAGGGUAGAGGGAAGUGGAAUUUCCGGUGUAGCGGUGAAAUGCGUAGAUAUCGGAAGGAACAUCAGUGGCGAAGGCGGCUUCCUGGAUUCAUACUGACGCUGAGGCGCGAGAGCGUGGGGAGCAAACAGG